rnacentral:rRNA from 1 species
AAGUCGAACGGGGAACCUUUUAUUGAAGCUUCGGCAGAUUUAGCUGGUUUCUAGUGGCGGACGGGUGAGUAACGCGUGGGUAACCUGCCUUAUACAGGGGGAUAACAGUCAGAAAUGACUGCUAAUACCGCAUAAGCGCACAGGACCGCAUGGUCCGGUGUGAAAAACUCCGGUGGUAUAAGAUGGACCCGCGUUGGAUUAGCUUGUUGGUGGGGUAACGGCUCACCAAGGCGACGAUCCAUAGCCGGCCUGAGAGGGUGAACGGCCACAUUGGGACUGAGACACGGCCCAGACUCCUACGGGAGGCAGCAGUGGGGAAUAUUGCACAAUGGAGGAAACCCUGAUGCAGCGACGCCGCGUGAAGGAAGAAGUAUCUCGGUAUGUAAACUUCUAUCAGCAGGGAAGAUAGUGACGGUACCUGACUAAGAAGCCCCGGCUAACUACGUGCCAGCAGCCGCGGUAAUACGUAGGGGGCAAGCGUUAUCCGGAUUUACUGGGUGUAAAGGGAGCGUAGACGGACUGGCAAGUCUGAUGUGAAAGGCGGGGGCUCAACCCCUGGACUGCAUUGGGAACUGUUAGUCUUGAGUGCCGGAGAGGUAAGCGGAAUUCCUAGUGUAGCGGUGAAAUGCGUAGAUAUUAGGAGGAAC